AGAUGAGACAAAUGAUUGGUUGGUGUUGUACAGAGAAACCAGCCUGUUUACAUGGUGUCUCUCU